GAUGAACGCUGGCGGCGUGCCUAAUACAUGCAAGUCGAGCGAACGGACGAGAAGCUUGCUUCUCUGAUGUUAGCGGCGGACGGGUGAGUAACACGUGGAUAACCUACCUAUAAGACUGGGAUAACUUCGGGAAACCGGAGCUAAUACCGGAUAAUAUUUUGAACCGCAUGGUUCAAUAGUGAAAGACGGUCUUGCUGUCACUUAUAGAUGGAUCCGCGCUGCAUUAGCUAGUUGGUAAGGUAACGGCUUACCAAGGCAACGAUGCAUAGCCGACCUGAGAGGGUGAUCGGCAACACUGGAACUGAGACACGGUCCAGACUCCUACGGGAGGCAGCAGUAGGGAAUCUUCCGCAAUGGGCGAAAGCCUGACGGAGCAACGCCGCGUGAGUGAUGAAGGUCUUCGGAUCGUAAAACUCUGUUAUUAGGGAAGAACAUAUGUGUAAGUAACUGUGCACAUCUUGACGGUACCUAAUCAGAAAGCCACGGCUAACUACGUG
rnacentral:rRNA from 1 species